rnacentral:rRNA from 1 species
UUCGUAGGCUGCGCAGAAAGUAGGGUGUGAAAGCCCUCGGCUCAACCGAGGAAUUGCGCUCUAAACUACUGCGCUUGAGGAACCUAGAGGUGAGCAGAACUGAUGGUGGAGCGGUGAAAUGCGUUGAUAUCAUCAGGAAUACCGGAGGCGAAGGCGGCUCACUGGGGGUUUUCUGACGCUGAGGAACGAAAGCCAGGGGAGCGAACG